AUUUGUUUACACAUUUUUUGCAUGCACAGUUAUAAGCAAUUUGCAAGACAAAUAUGGCAUUAAAGGGUCAUGAAUCUAUAUAUAAAUCCCAAAAUAUCCACAUGAGACUGUAUUUCAUGAUUGCUGAAAGGCAAUAGUGAACAGUAAUUCAGGCCAGCAUAUGCUUUUACAUUUAAAUGAAUAAGAAAAGGGUACCAUGGCAAAGAGAAGAAAUAGAUAAAUGGGGACAGGGAGUGAAGUGGAAUCUCCCUGUGAAUGUGGAGGCAGAGGUAUAGAAAGGGGUGUGAGUGGACUUACGAAGACUUGACAGCAGAGUGUGUAUAUGUGUGAGCAAGCCCAUUGCAGACUGAGAAGGAGGGUCCCGGGUGUUCCUAUCUACUCCAGGACCUUGCUAGUCCCUCUGGGACCUGAUCCCUGCUUCUCAACCUGAUGCUAGGCCCUGAAGUAGCUAUUCCAGCCCCUCUGGGUCUCACUUCUGCCUUACAAUAUUUUACCACCUGGAUGCUAGCUUCCCAUGCUGAUUAUAAAAAAUAGUGAGCAACAAUAAGAACAGUGACUCAAAUGCAUUGCUGACACAUUAUUGAAUUUGACUCACUGAAUAUGAGAGGGAUUUUCUAAUUUUUCUAGCAAGGAAACUGAGCUUUAUAGUAAAGAAAAAUAAAUGAAAUCCAGAUUUGAAAGAAAAUGUUCAUUAACAGGAACAUAAUUACAGGAACUACCAAACUGGAUCAGAUUCAAGUCCCUAGUUCAGCAACCCGUCUCCAUCUGUGACCAGUACCAGAUGCACCAGAGGAAGGUGCACAAAACCUUGCAGUAGGCAGAUAUUAAUUAAUUUGUUUCCAGUAAAGGUCUCAUCAUUCUAUUCCCUAACAGAAAUUGGUUUAAACUUUGUUGCAUGUGAUUUAUAUGUAACUUUCAUAUUCUUUUGUUAUAAUUAACAAUGAUGGCUGGUCAGGUUGCCAGGUGUCCAGUUUUCAGCCAGAACACCCAGUCAAAAAGGGACCCUGAUGGCUCCAGUCAGCACUGCUACCAGGCCAUUAAAACUGCAGUCAAUAGUAGCUGUGGAGGAGGAUGCCAGUGGUGAGAAUAAUGCACAGAGCCCCCUGGCCAUAACUAAAUCUUGGAGUUGGGAGAACAUGCCAGCUGCUUCUGUGAGCAACCAGAGAGUUACUAAUAAACACAGCUGAAAAUGGAAGCCAUCCUCGUUGGCAUUCAGCAGCAGCUCAGUGAAUCAGUGUUAAUCCUUCUGUUUUCCUUCUAAAUGCUGUGCUGCAAACACUUGAUCAGAGAGCCUUCUGUUUGCAAUGGAGACUCAACAGAAGAAGACUUUUGCAAAGCAGGUGACUUCCUGGACAUGGGAGCACAGCCAAAUUUUGGUGAAUCUCUGGUGUAAGGACAACAAAACUGGACUUUAGUAAAAGAUUCUAGGAAUGACCACACAUACCAGCAGAAAGCUAAAAAGUUCACUACUUUGCAAAUUUACCAGUGCAAAGAACAGGUUAAGUAGCAGAAGUGUGAGUGCUGGAAAAUCGGGGACCAGAAUACUGGGUAACUCACCAACCCCAUGCCUGUUGUAUGGGGGAGUUUGACUCUGCACUACCCAGAGCCAGCCAUUGUGUCUGCUGGUUUGGUCAGCCAGGAUGGUUCCCUGAAGGCCCCCAAAAUUCCUUCUAGUGGUGGAUGAGAGCCAACAGCAGGCAUCAAGUGAGGACUAUGAAGUAAAUCUGCAUCUGAAACCAGGCCCAGAGCAGGCUUUGGAACAGGAGGAUCAGCAGCAAACUCUUGGGCUGUACUCAGAGGAGAAAUUUGACCCCUCCCUGCCUUGCCCAUUGCAGUGGGGCCUGCAGGAGACAUGGAUGGGACAGAAGCUGCCCCUGAACCUGAUUCUCCCAGAACACAGCUUGGUUAAUCACUGUGAAAGAAGUUCAAAGACAAUGUAUUAAUUUCAAGCAGUAAAUCGUGCCAACCUACAAGAGAGAUGGUGAACCAAAAGGAGGAGAGUUCAUUCACUAAUGAUCCAGUUUCUGCAUAUAUCCCAAUAUCUUUUGUAAUUUCUCUUAAUUUCUACAGUGCUGAUUGCAUAUUCUGUCUCUGAAACCAAAGAGCUUUGAUAUUUCCAAUUUUGCUUUCCUACCUUGUGUCAGAGAUUUUCACAUAGUAUUUCAGAACUGUCCACAUAACCAUUGAAGUUGCAAACAUUGUGACAUUUAUUGAAGAAUUCAAAUUUUUUUUGAUCCAUGUGAGGUAUUUGCUGCAUCAUUCAUCAGUAAAUUUUGGGACUAGCAUC